AUUGAACGCUGGCGGCGUGCCUUACACAUGCAAGUCGAACGGCAACAGGUUAAGCUGACGAGUGGCGAACGGGCGAUUAAUGUAUCGGAACGUGCCUAGCAGUGUGGGAUAACUGCUGGGAAGAUCCGCUAAUACCGCAUACGACCUGAGGGUGUAAGCGGGGGAUCGCUAGUCGUUGCGGGAUUGGAGCGGGCGAUAUCAGAUAAGAUAGUUGGUGGGGGAAAGGCCUACCAAGCCUACGAUCUGUAGCUGGUCGGAGAGGAGGACCAGCCCAACUGGGACUGAGACACGGCCCAGACUCCUACGGGAGGAAGGAGUAGGGAAUUUUGGACAAUGGACGCAAGUCUGAUCCAGCCAUGCCGCGUGCGGUAAGAAGGCCUUCGGGUUGUAAACCGCUUUUGUCAGGGAAGAAAAGGUUCUGGUUAAUACCUGGGACUCAUGACGGUACCUGAAGAAUAAGCACCGGCUAACUACGUGCCAGCAGCCGCCGUAAUAC
rnacentral:rRNA from 1 species